CUUGGUCAUUUAGAGGAAGUAAAAGUCGUAACAAGGUUUCCGUAGGUGAACCUGCGGAAGGAUCAUUACCGUGGGGCUUCGGCCCUGUCGUGAUAGAACCCUUGCCUUUUGAGUACCGUCCGUUUCCUCGGCAGGCCCGCCUGCCAAUGGGGACCCCCAAUAAACCCUUUUAUGUACCUGUAUCAGUCUGAAAAACAAACAAAAGUUAAAACUUUCAACAACGGAUCUCUUGGUUCUGGCAUCGAUGAAGAACGCAGCGAAAUGCGAUAAGUAGUGUGAAUUGCAGAAUUCAGUGAAUCAUCGAAUCUUUGAACGCACAUUGCGCCCUUUGGUAUUCCUUAGGGCAUGCCUGUUCGAGCGUCAUUUGAAACCUCAAGCUCAGCUUGGUGUUGGGUGUCUGUCCCCGCCUCCGCGGGGACUCGCCUCAAAAUCAUUGGCGGCCGGUACGUUGGCUUCGAGCGCAGCAGAAACGCGAACUCGAGGCCCGGCGGAUCGGCGACCAGAAGUCUCUUCUUCACAGUUUGACCUCGGAUCAGGUAGGGAUACCCGCUGAACUUAAGCAUAUCAAUAAGCGGAGGA
rnacentral:misc_RNA from 1 species